CCAGGGGUGGCGGAGCGGCCAAUCGCAGCAGACUGUAAAUCUGCCGGGUUUAUCCCUACGGGAGUUCGAAUCUCUCCCCCUGGA
rnacentral:tRNA from 1 species